GACGUAGGGCGCGAGCGUUGUCCGGAUUUAUUGGGCGUAAAGAGCUCGUAGGCGGCUCAUUGCGUCAACCGUGAAAACCAGCAGCUCAACUGUUGGCUUGCGGUUGAUACGGGUGGGCUGGAGUUCGGUAGGGGAGACUGGAAUUCCUGGUGUAGCGGUGAAAUGCGUAGAUAUCUGGAGGAACACCGGUGGCGAAGGCGGCAUCCUGGACCGACACUGACACUGAGGAGCGAAAGCCAGGGGAGCAAACGGG
rnacentral:rRNA from 1 species